UAUACAUUUAUACGUGUGUGUAUAUAUGUGUGUUUUUUUCAUAAAAAUAUUUCAUUUUCAAUAUAUGUUCUAUUGUGUGUAGAUAAAAUUUGUCAGUACGUGUAUACUUUUUCUGUAGUUGGCUUUGUAUAUUUUUACAUUACCGCAAGUGUUUGAAUAUAUUUACGAUUGUAUGUAUAUUUUCUCAUUUGUUGGUUUGUGGGUGCAUAUCAUAGCUGGCUUUUGAAAAUUUUUACAUUGCGGCAGGUGUUUGUUUAUAUACGUGUAGUUGAUUGUAUUUUUUUAAAUUUGAAUUUGUUUUUGUGGAAAAAAAUUUGUUUGAGCAAGUGUUUUUUGUGUGACGUAAUGGUUGGCGAUCCUGUUGAAAAUCGAUCAAUAAAAAUCACACAGCAGGACAAUACUCUCAGCAUUAUUUCAGAUCUACAUCGCUCAUUUGACACACUUCAAUAUCCUCUAAUAUUUUGACAAGGACAGGACGAAUAUCAUAUAAAUAUAUGAAUUUUAAUACAAACUAUACAUUUUAUAACUAUAUUCCUAGCAAAGCGUGCCCGGGUUUACUAGUAUGUAUUUAUAUGAAUAUUUGUGUAAGAUGAAGGCGUAUUUGAGACAGAUACGAUAAAACUGACCAGAGUGCCUAAUGAACUUGCCCCAAAGUUAUUAAGUGACAAAACACUACUAAAAAAGAAAGGGAAAGCUACGAAGAAUAUGUUAAGAUGUCAAAAUUUGUGUAGUCAAGUGGAUGGAUAACCGUUCCGUAUUAAUAGCCUCAACAUCGGAUGCAUCCCUUCCUCUCCAAUCCGCUAGACAAUGGGAUAAAGUGGGUUAAAUGUAUAUUAGAUUCAAUGCAUGGGAGGAGUAAUCCGCUAGACAAUGGGAUAAAGUGCGUAAAAUGUGUAUUAGAUUCAAUGCAUAGAAGGAGUUGAGUUAGCGUACAGAUAUAUAUCAUACUAUAGAAUUUCUAUUCGCACCAAAAAAAUGGCAUUUGAAGGCAUUUGGUCGAUCUUAAACCAUGCAACUCAUGGGUAAAGUACAGCGAAAAGAAUAUCAAUUAGAGAAUAAAGAUGAACCAUUGCAAAAGAAAACAAAAUGGAACCUCAGACACCGAAAGUAGUAAGUGUACGA